GUUGGGAAUUUAAGCUUCUCUGCAGUUUGGUCAGUAUGGUAAAAAAAAAAAAAAAAAAAAAAAAAAAUCAGGAACUGAAUAUAGUUUGCCACUAAAAGAGAUAAUUGCCCAACCAUUUCAUUAAUGAGCUCUGGGUAACAUAUGGCCCACCAGGGGGUUAAGUGGCCAGUCUUUCUCAUUGUACUCUCAUCAGGCCUGGAUGUAAGUCUGUCACUGAGGCCUUAACCCGAAAGGUACUGAUUUAAAAAGCAAUGAGUCUUAGCUUAUAGAGGAGGGUGGGUGGUUUGCACGUGUGUUCCCCCACCUCUGCUUUAUUUGCGUUGUUCAUUGACUUAGUCAAAAUAUAUUUAUUAUCUUCUGUAGUCCAGGAAUUAUGCUGAACUGAAGAUAUGGAGAUGUUCUAUAGAACAUUCAGACUGAUAAACUUAAAGCCACGUCUUCCUGAACAUUGGUGGAGUUAGAAAACGUAGUAGCCAGGCUUCUAUAUCACUGUGGACAGAUGCCUGAAAGAACUAUUUAAGAGAGUGAACUCUCAUUUUGGUUCAUGGUAUAAAAAGGCUGAGCCCAUAUAUUUGUGCCGAACAUCGGGGCAAUGGAGGCGUUUUCUGGGGCUGUUCUUGAUAGCUUGGUAGACAGCAGGCAGAGAAGACAGAGGGCAGGAGGAGGCCAGAGAAAAGCCCAUCCGUCAAUGCUUCCUCAGGGGCCUUCCUCCAACUAGAUCUCAUAUCCAAGUAAUACAGGCAUAUUAUGAAUCUAUCAAGUGAUGGUCUAUGUUAUUAAUGAGGUAAAAGCCUUCAUGAUCCAGAAAAGUCUUCACAAAUACACCCACAGAUGUGCUCUUUUUAAUUUCCCAGAUGUUUCUGAAUUUAUUCAAGUCACUCAUCACACACAAAAAGUUCCUUGCUCCAACCCAUGCUGUCAAAGGAAUAACUUCUGAGACUAUAGCUUUCAUUUGAAAAUGUAAAUGAAUGAUCCAAAGAUUGUGCAUUUGCAAACUGGCAUAUUAACAAAUAAUCAGAAAGGCUUCAGGUAUAAGCCUUAAAAUUACCCUU
rnacentral:lncRNA from 1 species